GAAUAUAUAAUUAGUGGUUAGCACGUUUGCCUCACACCUCCAGGGUCCGGGGUUCGAGUCCAUGUGUGUGCG